CAUUGGGUCACCCCUCGGGAAAGAGAAAAAUAAAUUUCUUGGGCAACACUGAUGGAAAACAACAAACAAGUUGUCAUGCAAAUUACAUGGUAACGGCAUGUUAAAAGGCAACGGACGAAAAACCAAGUGAUAAUUUUUCCUCAAAACAAACUUUCUGCAUGUAUGAAAACCUUGGUAUAGUAAGCGCUAAGUACAUUUAUCUUAUGAUUGCAGUUCGUCGUGACCUGAAUCGGUUUUGCUAAAAUGAAACAACUAGCCCUCAAUCUAGCAUCAUUUUCUGCGGGGACGAAAUCUCGCUGAGGGAGUAAAUUGGGGAUCUUGGACUCACCAUGGACAUUAAUCUCACCUGGUCACACCAGGUUUUCCGUUGUUUUGAUGGUCUUAACAUACAAAAAGCAUGUACGCUUUUUAUAUAAAGCGAUGUAAUCUACUACCCAAAAUUAAACUCAUUCUAUAAGAUUCGUUUACAUACUACGUCCUAGAGAUACAACUGCCACCAUACUCUCCUGGGACACGACCUUUCGGCAAACUACCAUCGUUGAAGCUCCUGUUUUAUCUGGUGCAUAGUAGCAAGAACUUUCUGACAACUUUUUCCAGAAUCUGUAGCGAAGAAAACAUGAAUCGCUCCUGUUUCUUCACCAUUUCACUGCAUUCAAUAGUACGCGAAAGAACGAGCUGAUAUACGACGCAUCACUGUGAAAUGACCCCCCCCCCCCCCCCACCCCUCUCGACUAAGACGAAAUCACCCGUCCCCCUUGAAAGCUACCUUAGAUUUCAUUAAACUGUAACUAAAUAGUGGUUCGUGAUUUUGAAAUUUUCUUAUUAUUAAGGACCAAUGUAUUCACCCUCACUUCUUUUAAACCAGGUUUUACGCACCGCACUAAACCUGGUUUAAAAGUUGAGCGAGGGUGAAGAAAUCGGGCCUAAAACAUGAAUCUUCCUUGACCUAAAUUAAACACAUGUAAUCAGUCCGUCGUCAAGUAUAGUAGCUAAACAGUUUACAUCCAGUGAUCAUCACGGCAUCCGCUGUUUUGUUCCAUGAAAGGGUAAGAGAUAGCGGAGGACUAUGUAGGCGAUUGAAUAUAAUGGACAAUAUAUACGUUUAUUUGGUUUUGUUAAUUCGUGAAAUCAUCAACAUUCCUAACGCCUAGCGUGUACUAGUAGUUACUAGACAAUUUUCCGACCAUCAGUAAAAAAUAAAACCAAAAAUCUAUCUCGCCCGUACGAA